rnacentral:tRNA from 1 species
AAGGAGUUAGGUUAAGUAGAGACCCUUAGCCUUCAAAGCUGAUAGUGGAAGUAUCUAUUCCAGUCCUUA